rnacentral:pre_miRNA from 1 species
CGGGGGGCGGGGAUGUCCCUCAGCCCAGAUUGCAAGAGGGAGCAGGCCAGGCUGAGGGACUCCAUCAGUGCAUG